ACCAAAUUCAUACUUGCUUGCCCUCUCAUG
rnacentral:piRNA from 1 species